rnacentral:misc_RNA from 1 species
GAAAUGCGAUAAGUAAUGUGAAUUGCAGAAUUCAGUGAAUCAUCGAAUCUUUGAACGCACCUUGCGCUCCUUGGUAUUCCUUGGAGCAUGCCUGUUUGAGUAUCAUGAAAUCUUCAAAGUAAAUCUUUUGUUAACUCAAUUGGUUUCUACUUUGGUAUUGGAGGUCUUUGCAGCUUCACACCUGCUCCUCUUUGUUCAUUAGCUGGAUCUCAGUGUUAUGCUUGGUUCCACUCGGCGUGGUAAGUUAUCUAUCGCUGAGGACACUGUAAAAGGUGGCCAAGAUAAAUGCAGAUGAGCCGCUUCUAAUAGUCCAUUGACUUGGACAAUACUUUUAUGAUCUGAUCUCAAAUCAGGUAGGACUACCCGCUGAACUUAAGC